rnacentral:rRNA from 1 species
AACGAACGCUGGCGGCAGGCCUAACACAUGCAAGUCGAACGCCCUGGCGACAGGGAGUGGCAGACGGGUGAGUAACGCGUGGGAACGUGCCUUUCGGUUCGGAAUAACCCAGGGAAACUUGGACUAAUACCGGAUACGUGCGAGAGCAGAAAGAUUUAUCGCCGAAAGAUCGGCCCGCGUCCGAUUAGCUAGUUGGUGAGGUAAAGGCUCACCAAGGCGACGAUCGGUAGCUGGUCUGAGAGGAUGAUCAGCCACACUGGGACUGAGACACGGCCCAGACUCCUACGGGAGGCAGCAGUGGGGAAUAUUGGACAAUGGGCGAAAGCCUGACGCAGCGACGCCGCGUGGGGGAUGAAGGUCUUCGGAUUGUAAACCCUUUCGGGAGGGAAGAGUGGGACGAGCAAUCGUUCGGACGGUACCUCCAGAAGCAGCCACGCUAACUUCGUGCCAGCCGCCGCCGUAAC